rnacentral:rRNA from 1 species
CUACGGGGGGCUGCAGUGGGGAAUAUUGGACAAUGGGGGAAACCCUGAUCCAGCAAUGCCGCGUGUGUGAAGAAGGCCUGCGGGUCGUAAAGCACUUUCGGUUGGGAGGACUGCUUCUAGCACUAAUAUUGUUGGAAGUUGACGUUACCUUCAGAAGAAGCACCGGCUAACUCCGUGCCAGCAGCCGCGGUAAUACGGAGGUGCAAGCGUUAAUCGGAAUUACUGGGCGUAAAGCGCGCGUAGGCGGCUAGAUCAGUCGGGUGUGAAAGCCCCGGGCUUAACCUGGGAACUGCAUCCGAUACUGUCUAGCUUGAGUACAGGAGAGGAGAGUGGAAUUCCACAUGUAGCGGUGAAAUGCGUAGAUAUGUGGAGGAACACCAAUGGCGAAGGCAGCUCUCUGGCCUGAUACUGACGCUGAGGUGCGAAAGCGUGGGGAGCAAACAGGAUUAGAUACCCGUGUAGUC